rnacentral:misc_RNA from 1 species
UUACAUAGUUGCCUAGAGAUGGCGAAUUUGCAAAUCACUGGAAUUCUAGAAAAGAUGACGGGUAAGGAUAAAGAUUACAGAUAUAUGGCGACAUCUGACUUGCUUAAUGAGUUAAAUAAGGAAACAUUCAAAGCUGAUGCUGAUUUGGAGAUAAAGUUGUCAACUAUUGUUCUGCAGCAACUUGAUGAUGUAGCUGGCGAUGUUUCUGGAUUGGCUGUGAAGUGUCUUGCUCCAUUGGUGAAGAAAGUAAGCGAGGCACGAGUUGUGGAGAUGACUAAUAAAUUAUGUGAUAAAUUGCUCAAUGGCAAAGAUCAGCACCGUGACAUUGCAAGCAUAGCUUUGAAGACAAUCGUGUGUGAAGUCACAACCCAAUCUCUUGCUCAAUCCAUUCUUGUUUCUUUACCUCCACAGCUUAUAAAAGGAAUAACUAGUCCGGGGAUGAGCACAGAGAUAAAAUGUGAAUGUCUUGAUAUUUUAUGUGAUGUCCUCCAUAAAUUUGGAAAUUUGAUGGCAACUGACCAUGAGUUGCUUUUAAAUGCACUUCUAUCCCAAUUGAAUUCCAAUCAAGCCACUGUAAGAAAGAAGACUGUUUCUUGUCUUGCAUCUCUUGCUUCAAGCUUGUCAGAUGAUCUGUUGGCAAAGGCAACUAUUGAAGUUGUUCGAAACUUGAGAAGUAAGGGUGUAAAGCCUGAAAUGACCCGUACAAACAUUCAAAUGAUUGGUGCUUUAAGCCGUGCUGUGGGAUACCGGUUUGGACCUCAUCUUGGAGAUACUGUGCCAGUUUUGAUUAAUUACUGCACUAGUGCAUCAGAGAAUGAUGAGGAGCUUCGUGAAUAUAGCUUGCAGGCGCUAGAAAGUUUUCUGCUCAGGUGCCCCAGGGACAUAUCUUCUUAUUGUGAUGAAAUUCUUCAUCUUACUCUAGAAUACCUAAGUUAUGAUCCAAACUUCACUGAUAACAUGGAAGAGGAUACGGAUGAGGAGAGUCAUGAAGAGGAGGAAGAUGAUGAGAGUGCAAAUGAAUAUACUGAUGAUGAGGAUGUUAGCUGGAAAGUUCGAAGAGCAGCAGCUAAAUGCUUGGCAGCAUUAAUUGUAUCUCGUCCUGAACUGCUUUCAAAGCUAUAUGAGGAGGCCUGCCCUAAACUGAUUGACAGAUUUAAAGAAAGGGAAGAAAAUGUAAAGAUGGAUGUAUUCAAUACAUUCAUUGAGUUACUACGUCAAACUGGAAAUGUUACAAAAGGGCAGAUUGACAUGAAUGAAUCAAGCCCAAGAUGGCUACUGAAGCAGGAAGUGCCGAAGGUUGUUAAAUCUAUAAAUAGGCAGCUUCGAGAGAAAUCUAUCAAGACAAAGGUUGGUGCAUUUUCUGUUCUGAAAGAACUUGUGGUUGUCUUGCCAGACUGCCUAGCAGAACAUAUUGGAUCACUCAUUCCAGGAAUUGAAAAGGCAUUAAACGACAAAUCAUCAACCUCAAAUUUGAAGAUUGAAGCUCUUAUAUUUACUAGACUGGUAUUGGCUUCACAUUCUCCUUCUGUUUUCCACCCGCAUAUCAAGGCUCUUUCUAGUCCUGUUUUAUCAGCUGUUGGUGAGCGUUACUACAAGGUAACUGCAGAGGCAUUAAGAGUAUGUGGGGAACUUGUUCGCAUUGUGCGUCCAAAUAUUCAGGGCUUGGGUUUUAACUUCACACCUUACGUUCAUCCAAUAUAUAAUGCCAUAAUGUCACGACUGACAAACCAAGACCAAGACCAGGAAGUUAAGGAAUGUGCUAUUUCUUGCAUGGGGCUCGUCAUUUCAACAUUUGGUGACAACCUCAGAGCAGAGUUACCUGCAUGCCUUCCUGUACUUGUUGAUCGGAUGGGGAAUGAAAUAACACGCCUUACAGCGGUAAAGGCUUUUGCUGUCAUCGCUGCUUCUCCUCUUCGGAUUGAUCUAUCUUGCGUUUUGGCGCAUGUAAUUGCAGAGUUAACAGCAUUCCUGCGGAAAGCCAAUCGGGCUCUAAGGCAGGCAACAUUGGGGACACUAAAUUCCUUGAUUGUGGCUUAUGGUGAUCAGAUUGGUUCAUCCGCUUAUGAAGUUAUUAUUGUUGAACUUUCAACUCUGAUAAGUGAUUCAGACUUGCACAUGACAGCACUUGCCCUGGAACUCUGUUGCACUUUGAUGGCGGACAGGAGGUCAAGCCCAAAUGUUGGUUUGGCUGUUAGAAAUAAAGUUCUUUCCCAGGCGCUAACAUUAAUCAAAAGCUCGUUGCUACAGGGUCAAGCCCUUUUGGCUUUGCAAAACUUCUUUGCUGCAUUAGUCUAUUCUGCAAAUACAAGUUUUGACGCUUUACUGGACUGCCUUCUUGCAAGUGCAAAGCCAUCUCCCCAGUCUGGUGGUGUUGCAAAACAGGCCUUAUAUUCAAUAGCCCAAUGUGUGGCUGUUCUCUGCCUUGCUGCAGGUGACCAGAAAUGUUCAUCUACAGUGAAAAUGCUGACUGAGAUUCUUAAAGAUGACAGUAGUGCCAAUUCAGCUAAGCAGCACCUUGCCUUGCUAUGCCUUGGGGAGAUUGGGAGGAGGAAGGAUCUAAGCUCACAUGUGCAUAUAGAAACCAUUAUUAUCGAGUCCUUUCAAUCUCCAUUUGAAGAGAUCAAGUCUGCUGCUUCUUAUGCUCUUGGCAAUAUUGCUGUUGGUAAUCUGUCCAAGUAUCUGCCUUUUAUCUUGGAUCAGAUUGAUAAUCAGCAGAAAAAACAGUAUCUACUUCUUCAUUCUCUGAAGGAGGUGGGUUCUCUCAUUUACACUUCGUUUGGAUAGAGGGACAGGAAGGGAUGGGAAAUGAAGAGCUAUCCCUUGUUUGGGAGUUCAAUGAGGUUGGAAAAGAAAGGAUAAGGAGGGAUAAUUAUCCCUUUUAACCCCACUUUAGUUUUCCAUCAAAAUUGAGGGAAGAAGAGUUAUCCCUCUUUCAACAUUAAAAAUAUUUCAAUAAUAUGAUUAUUUUGCCCUUAAUGUUUAAAAUCCUUUCCUAUCCUUCGAAAUUUCUAAACAUGAUAUAUUGCUUAAUCUCUGGUUUCUUUUAUUUUUCUAUUCCAUGGAUUAAACAUUAUCCUUAUUUUUCCUAUUCAACAAAAACUCCCAAAUAUUUUGGAGUCAAUGGUAUGGUUUUAAAUGUUUCUCUAUUGUAAUUUCUAACCGCCUUCAUGAUGCAGGUUAUAGUAAGGCAAUCUGUGGAUAAAGCAGAGUUCCAGGAUUCUAGUGUUGAGAAGAUACUUAAACUGCUUUUUAAUCACUGUGAGAGUGAGGAGGAGGGCGUGCGAAAUGUUGUAGCUGAGUGCCUAGGGAAAAUUGCACUUAUAGAACCUGCAAAACUUGUUCCUGCACUUAAGGUGAGAACAACUAGUCCAGCUGCAUUCACCAGAGCAACAGUAGUCAUUGCUGUAAAAUAUUCUAUAGUUGAGCGUCCAGAGAAGAUAGAUGAAAUUAUAUACCCUGAGAUUUCAUCAUUUCUUCUGCUUAUCAAGGAUCAUGACCGGCAUGUUAGGCGAGCAGCUGUAUUAGCAUUAAGUACAUUUGCUCACAAUAAGCCUAAUCUUAUUAAGGGACUUCUUCCAGAAUUGUUGCCACUUCUCUAUGAUCAAACAGUGGUUAAGAAAGAAUUGAUACGAACAGUUGAUCUUGGACCCUUCAAGCAUAUUGUGGAUGAUGGACUUGAGUUGAGGAAAGCAGCUUUUGAAUGUGUAGACACAUUGUUGGAUAGUUGUCUUGAUCAAGUAAAUCCAUCAUCUUUCAUUGUUCCAUACCUCAAAUCUGGUCUUGAUGAUCAUUAUGAUGUUAAAAUGCCUUGCCAUCUUAUCCUCUCCAAACUUGCAGAUAAAUGUCCUUCUGCUGUUUUGGCAGUGCUGGACUCUUUGGUUGAUCCUCUUCAAAAGACUAUCAAUUUUAAGCCAAAGCAAGAUGCUGUCAAGCAAGAAGUAGAUCGUAAUGAAGACAUGAUUCGCAGCGCUCUUCGAGCAAUUGCUGCCUUGAAUCACAUAAGUGGAGGUGAUUGCAGCCUUAAAUUCAAAAGCCUUAUGAGUGAAAUUUCAAGAUCUCCUACACUCUGGGACAAGUACUAUUCCAUCCGUAACGAGUGAUGGGUAUGUUGAUCCUGCAAUGGAGUGGUUGUAGUCAAAUUUGUCAUACAAGGAAAAGAAAAAUAUCAAUGUUUUGAUGUUUGCUGUACAAGCUCCUCUAGGAGGAAAAAUGAAAGAACCGGGGAGAACUAUGGCCCCAGUUACAGGUGUAUAAUGGGGGAUUAAGAAUGCUAAAAUUUUGGUUGAAGAAGCUCAUAUGAAGGAUUACAUGACCAUUUCCUAUAAUGCGAACACAAGCAAUGGAUUUUUAUGUAUAGGGUCAAAAUGCUCGUCUCUUAAUAGCAUUGCUAUUGCAAGUGUUGCAUUUCCCUUUUGAGGGAAAAGGCUGCUUUACUACACAUUGGUUGUACUGCUUUAUUCAUAUGGAUGAUAGAAUCCUAAUGCAAUCUUCGAAAUUGAGACUAUUGAUUCUAGUCUUUUGAUUCUUU